UGCAGGAUGUGGUGCUUACAUCGCCUGCAAGCAAGAGAUGAUGCAGCCAAAUGCUAGCAUAAAGACAGGUUCAUGACAGAAAAGAAGAUGGGUUAUGUUGUUGCGGUAGAGAUGGGAGCAAUCAGCUAGUUAUGGAUGGGUCUGAGAUGAAACAGAUGGUGGUGACCAUGGCAAGCUUCAAUGGACUGUAAUAGAUGUAUGUGUAGGAUGCAGUUGCAGGUAGAAGCUUGUGUGUUUUGGGAGCAGAAGCUGAUGCUGCUGGUAGAAUGAGAUGUUGCAGUAUAGCUGAGAUGAAAUGAGUGGUUAUUGGUGGGUUGCUGAAUGCUGAGAUGCUGCUGCUGCGAAGAAUAACUUAAGGAAAUGGUCGCAGUCAUGAUGAAGAUGACUUGGAAUCGCAGGUGCAAGCUGGAAUGUGAUGGCAGUUGUGGUUGAUGCUGAACUCAAGUGCAGGAAAUGGGUUGUGCAGGCAUGAAGGGAAGGUGUCAGUAAUACUGGAGGGCUGCGAAUUGAUGUCGGACUUGAAUGUUACAGGGAAGUAAUGAUGUUGGUGUUGAUGCCGUUGCUGUUAAGGCACUCAGAUGCGAGCUGAUGCUGAUUGAUUUGUGUUUGCUAAUCAUGAUUUAUCUUUUCCUCCUGCUUACUUGAUGACCUUAAUCGAACCGCUAUAAAAUUUUGUUUACAUAAUUUAAUUUUUUAAUCGCGUUACUUAACAUUUUGAUGUUGUUUUAUGCUGCAGUUCUGCUGGCUUUAGUUUUUGCUCACACUGAAAAAUACCCAGAUGAGCCACCACUUCUGCACGUGAAAAGUUUAAAAGGAAUAUCGUUAGAGCAUCUCCAGGCGUUAAAACAAAAGCUUGAUGAGGAGUAUGGGUUGGGCAUUAUGAACUUAAAGUGAGGGAUUAUGAAGAACGUGAUGAAGAAUUCUUGGCAACUAGUGUUUGAGAAGUAUCUGCAAGCUUUGAGUAAGUGAGUUGUUUGUUGUGAUGAUGGAAGGAGGUAGCUGAAAUAAGUGCUUGCUUGAGCAUUUGCAGAUGAGAAGGACCAGAAGAUUAUAUUCAUCGAGCAUAGACGGGAUGCAUCUAGAGCAGAGGAUACUUUUACUCUAUCGCAAGGCAGUGAGCUAGUUGGCAUGCUUAAAGACUGGAAUGAGGAAGUUCAGUCGUGUUGCGAGUUUCCCCACACUUCACCUCAAGAAAGGAUCUUGCGUGAUAGGGCUCUCUAUAAGGUGACUUCUGAUUUUGUCAACGUUGCAAAUUAGUGGUGCUGUUGGAUUUAUAAGCAGAUGUGUACCUCCCAUUAAUCCAACUAAUCUAGAGUGUUUUCACAUGUAUCCCUAUGGUCAUGAGGAACUUGAUGUCUGUGAAGACAUUGAUCAGGUAACUGCUUACGACUUCAGUAAACUUUGAAGGCUAUUUUCUGCUGUAUGGAUAACAUCAUCUUUUAACCAGGUC